rnacentral:rRNA from 1 species
UAAGGAAUAUUGCGCAAUGGGCGAAAGCCUGACGCAGCGACGCCGCGUGGGGGAUGAAGGUCUUCGGAUUGUAAACCCCUUUCGGGAGGGAAGAUGGAGCGAGCAAUCGUUCGGACGGUACCUCCAGAAGCAGCCACGGCCAACUUCGUGCCAGCAGCCGCGGUAAUACGAAGGUGGCAAGCGUUGUUCGGAUUCACUGGGCGUACAGGGUGUGUAGGCGGUUUGGUAAGCCUUCUGUUAAAGCUUCGGGCCCAACCCGGAAAGCGCAGAGGGUACUGCCAGGCUAGAGGGUGGGAGAGGAGCGCGGAAUUCCCGGUGUAGCGGUGAAAUGCGUAGAGAUCGGGAGGAAGGCCGGUGGCGAAGGCGGCGCUCUGGAACAUACCUGACGCUGAGACACGAAAGCGUGGGGAGCAAACA